AUUGAACGCUAGCGGGAUGCCUUACACAUGCAAGUCGAACGGCAGCACGGACUUCGGUCUGGUGGCGAGUGGCGAACGGGUGAGUAAUGUAUCGGAACGUGCCUAGUAGCGGGGGAUAACUACGCGAAAGCGUAGCUAAUACCGCAUACGCCCUACGGGGGAAGGCAGGGGAUCGCAAGACCUUGCACAAUUAGAGCGGCCGAUAUCGGAUUAGCUAGUUGGUGGGGUAACGGCUCACCAAGGCGACGAUCCGUAGCUGGUUUGAGAGGACGCCCAGCCACACUGGGACUGAGACACGGCCCAGACUCCUACGGGAGGCAGCAGUGGGAAAUUUUGGACAAUGGGGGAAACCCUGAUCCAGCCAUCCCGCGUGUGCGAUGAAGGCCUUCGGGUUGUAAAGCACUUUUGGCAGGAAAGAAACGUUCCGGGUUAAUACCCCGGGAAACUGACGGUACCUGCAGAAUAAGCACCGGCUAACUACGUGCCAGCCGCCGCCGUAACAC
rnacentral:rRNA from 1 species